GAAGAUUCCAGUGAUGAAGCAAUUUUUUGUGGACUAGAGUUUCUGAUCAGGGACGUAGUUCCUAUGGUUGAAGACUAACCCUUGGCUGUCUGAGAAUCGUU